rnacentral:rRNA from 1 species
UACGGGAGGCAGCAGUGGGGAAUAUUGCACAAUGGGCGCAAGCCUGAUGCAGCCAUGCCGCGUGUAUGAAGAAGGCCUUCGGGUUGUAAAGUAUUUUCAGUCGUGAGGAAGGUGUUAAGGUUAAUAACCUUAGCAAUUGACGUUAGCGACAGAAGAAGCACCGGCUAACUCCGUGCCAGCAGCCGCGGUAAUACGGAGGGUGCGAGCGUUAAUCGGAAUUACUGGGCGUAAAGGGCACGCAGGCGGUUAAUUAAGUUGGAUGUGAAAUCCCCGGGCUUAACCUGGGAAUGGCAUUCAAGACUGGUUAGCUAGAGUCUUGUAGAGGGGGUAGAAUUCCAUGUGUAGCGGUGAAAUGCGUAGAGAUGUGGAGGAAUACCGGGUGGCGAAGGCGGCCCCUGGGACAAAGGACUGACGCUCAUGUGCGAAAGCGUGGGGAGCAAACGAGGAUUAGAUACC